AGAGGAGGAGGGCUGGAAGGGGCCAGGGGAUUUUGAGGGAUGAGGGUACAGAUGCUGGGGCUGGUUAGGAAGACUCCAGUAGGCAAGUGUGAGAUAACUAAGCUUAUGGAGAUGGCGAGUAUGAAACAGACUUACGGAAAACAACAGAGGACUGCAGAGAAGAUAUGGAGGCAAGAUUAUUUUGUGGUGGAUGUACAAUUCAGUAGGAGGCCCCAGGGCCAGGUUGUUUUAGGUAGAAACUUUUCAGGUGGAAAGGAGGAGAGGGAAGGCUAUGAUUUCCAGAGAGAGGAUGGUUUUGGAAAGCUCUCUUUGGUGGGCAGGAGGGACUUGAAAGACACAGGAAGUGUGAGAGGGCUGUUCUUUGCUUCCCAUUUCACCUCAUCUGACCAAUUCCCCUCUGUACUUUCCUGUGAGCAGCUGACUGCCUGGGAGAGAAAUGCACUUCUUUAUUCAGUUCCUAUUUCUUCUACCACGCUUCAGGUUGCAACGUGCCAUAUGCUGGGUGUAUAUUUUCUAUAUAGAGAUCCAUUCCUUCGCUGGAAAGUUUUAGGGACCUCCGGAUUACAGAAGCUUGAAAGCCACCAGUGUGGUUAUAGCCUGCUCCAUUUGUACUUCAGAGGUAUCUGUUCUGACCAAAACCUAUGUUUGAUGUGAUAUGCUUGGACGGACAAACAAAACCACAGGUUAGAAAAAUACACCUACAGAUAUGUUGCCAGGUAGUCACUCCCAGAUGAAAUACUGAACAUUGAAGGACCCUACAUGUGACCUGAGCAGUAGGUGUCAAGCUGACUGUUAUGUUAGCACAACGUCUUUGGCUAUAUGGGGUCACAUCAAGCACCUGGCAAGACCUAUGACAGCCUUCCUUGAAAGCAGCGAUGGAUUCACACAUCCUGACCUCUUCAAGAAUGGCCUUGUGAGCUGAUAAAGGACAGGUGGCACCAGCAGUGAGGAGGAAACAGCAGACUGAAGAAAAAAAAAAGAAAUAAGGCUCUAUCAAACACCUACAAAGUAUAAUUGGACAUGACAGCCCAUGUCAGAGUUCAGCAAUGAAAACUGAAAUAUCCUCUAUCGGUCACAGACUCAGAUGAGCCUUUGGUUUGUGCUGUUCUUGCAGAAUGAAGACCCUGCUUCAAAGUUGUGCUGCCUGCUGCAGAAAUGAAACAGAACAAAGGAGUGGAUAUG
ensembl:lncRNA